CUCUUUGUGUUACAUUUUCAUUUAAUUGAAUCAGUACACAAAGAGUAGCCAGAAACAUGAAAACCCACAAAGUGUCCUUUUUGUAAGGUUCGCCUUUCCUUUCAUGUGUGUAACUCGUGUAAGUAUUUCAACAAACUCUGUAAACUUUUGUUCAAAUUAAAAACUGAAUGAGCUCCAGCCAAUUUUGAAAAAUAGCUUACCAAAGUCAAAUGAAACCUUAAUUCUGAUUUGCCGAAUAUUUUUUCAGUCUCAAAUCAAAAACUACUUAUUAAAAAUACAGGAAAUAUU
rnacentral:lncRNA from 1 species